UACCAGCACCCCGAGUGGUCGGGACGUUUUAUUGGGCCUAAAGCAUCCGUAGCCGGUUCUACAAGUCUUCCGUUAAAUCCAUCUGCUUAACAGAUGGGCUGCGGAAGAUACUAUAGAGCUAGGAGGCGGGAGAGGCAAGCGGUACUCGAUGGGUAGGGUAAAAUCCGUUGAUCCAUUGAAGACCACCAGUGGCGAAGGCGGCUUGCCAGAAUGCGCUCGACGGUGAGGGAUGAAAGCUGGGGGAGCAAACCGGG
rnacentral:rRNA from 1 species